UACGUAGGGGGCUAGCGUUGUCCGGAAUCACUGGGCGUAAAGCGCACGUAGGCGGAUUGCUAAGUCAGGGGUGAAAUCCUGGAGCUCAACUCCAGAACUGCCUUUGAUACUGGCGAUCUUGAGUCCGGGAGAGGUGAGUGGAACUGCGAGUGUAGAGGUGAAAUUCGUAGAUAUUCGCAAAGAACACCCAGUGGCGAAGGCGGCUCACUGGCCCCGGUACUGACGCUGAGGUGCGAAAGCGUGGGGAGCAACAGG
rnacentral:rRNA from 1 species